CAGGGAUGGGCUUAUGACGCAUUAGCCAGUUGGCAGGGUAACGGCCUACCAAAGCGACGAUCCAUAGCCGGCCUGAGAGGGCGACCGGCCACAUUGGGACUGAGACACGGCCCAAACUCCUACGGGAGGCAGCAGUGGGGAAUAUUGCACAAUGGGGGAAACCCUGAUGCCCCAGCGACGCCGCGUGAGCGAAGAAGUAUUUCGGUAUGUAAAGCUCUAUCAGCAGGGAAGAGAAUGACGGUACCUGACUAAGAAGCCCCGGCUAACUAC
rnacentral:rRNA from 1 species